AUUGAACGCUGGCGGCAUGCCUUACACAUGCAAGUCGAACGGCAGCACGGGAGCAAUCCUGGUGGCGAGUGGCGAACGGGUGAGUAAUAUAUCGGAACGUGCCCAGUAGUGGGGGAUAGCCCGGCGAAAGCCGGAUUAAUACCGCAUACGACCUGAGGGUGAAAGCGGGGGAUCGCAAGACCUCGCGCUAUUGGAGCGGCCGAUAUCAGAUUAGCUAGUUGGUGGGGUAAAGGCCCACCAAGGCAACGAUCUGUAGUUGGUCUGAGAGGACGACCAGCCACACUGGGACUGAGCAACGGCCCAGACUCCUACGGGAGGCAGCAGUGGGGAAUUUUGGACAAUGGGCGCAAGCCUGAUCCAGCAAUGCCGCGUGCAGGAAGAAGGCCUUCGGGUUGUAAACUGCUUUUGUCAGGGAAGAAAUCUUCUGGGCUAAUACCCUGGGAGGAUGACGGUACCUGAAGAAUAAGCACCGGCUAACUACGUGCCAGCCGCCGCGGUAACAC
rnacentral:rRNA from 1 species